rnacentral:rRNA from 1 species
UCCGUAGGUGAACCUGCGGAAGGAUCAUUGUCGAAACCUAUAAAGAAGACUGCGAACAUGUUCACAAAAAAUCCCGGUGACGCGGAGAGGGGGCGACCCCGCGAUGCAUCCCGCUAACGAACCUGGGUUCGGAAUGCGCUAAGGAAAAUGUAAUGGAGCACUCCCCUCCCCCGAUGUGCCCCAUCCAUGGGGCAAAUCAGGGGAAAGGGACACCUAUUGAAUGUCUAAAUGACUCUCGACAAUAGAUAUCUCGGCUCUCGCAUAAAUAUGAAACGUAGCAAAAUGUGAUACUUUGUGUGAAUUGCAGAAUCCCGUGAACCAUCGAGUCUUUGAAUGCAAGUUACGCCUGAAGCCAUUAGGCUGAGGGCACGCCUGUUUGGGCAUCACGCAUCGCGUCGCCCCCCUCACCCCUCCGCUUCGAUGGGGUUUCGGGGUGGAGAUUGGCCCCCUGUGCCCAGCGAUGCUCACGGCCGGCCCAAACCCAAAUCCGCCGUCGAUGCGCGUCGCGACCAGUGGUGGUUGAACCCUUAACUCGCGUGCUGUUACCCCCCAUCGCGUCGUCGGUCUGAAGAUGUAAGCCCAACGGAGCGAUCCUCGAAUUGCGCCCACGACCGCGACCCCAGGUCAGGCGGGAUCACUCACUGAGUUUAAGCAUAUCAAUAAGCGGAGGA